rnacentral:misc_RNA from 1 species
GAUGAAGAACGUAGCGAAAUGCGAUACGUUAUGUGAAUUGCAGAAUUCAGUGAAUCAUCGAGUCUUUGAACGCACAUUGCGCCCCCUGGUAUUCCGGGGGGCAUGCCUGUCCGAGCGUCAUUGCUGCCCUCAAGCACGGCUUGUGUGUUGGGCCUCCGUCCUCCUCCCGGGGGACGGGCCCGAAAGGCAGCGGCGGCACCGCGUCCGGUCCUCGAGCGUAUGGGGCUUCGUCACCCGCUCUUGUAGGCCCGGCCGGCGCUUGCCGACACAUCAAUCUUUUUUCCAGGUUGACCUCGGAUCAGGUAGGGAUACCCGCUGAACUUAAGCAUAUCAAUAAGCGGAGGA